rnacentral:rRNA from 1 species
UACAGAGGUCCCAAGCGUUGUUCGGAUUCACUGGGCGUAAAGGGUGCGUAGGCGGUCGGGUAAGUCUGAUGUGAAAUCUCACAGCUUAACUGUGAAACUGCAUUGGAUACUAUUCGGCUAGAGAGUUGGAGGGGGGACUGGAAUUCUUGGUGUAGCAGUGAAAUGCGUAGAGAUCGGGAAGAACACCAGUGGCGAAGGCGGCCGGCUGGGGGUGUCCUGACGCUGAGGCGCGAGAGCGUGGGGAGCAAACAGG